AUUUCUAUGAAUAGAACUUGGAGGAGUUGUGGAAGAUUUGCAGAUCCUGUAGUUUUGCAGUUGAAGCUGAUGACCAGCAGCUGACUACAGGUCUGGAGGCUGAGGAGCAAGUGGGAUGACUCUGAGCUGUCCAAGGGAGAUCUACAAGCAACUAGCAAGUGUCCCUGUAGUUUUCCAGUGUGCCAUUUUUUUUAUUACUGGAAGGAAGAUAAUACCUCUUGCUGCAACUGAAUGUCAAGAUGAUGUCUAUAUUUCAUGUGCAUUAAGUGAAUGGGGAAAGUUUCUCUGUGGAUACCUCUUCUGCUUUUUAAUAAAUUCUUUCUUUUGCCUGAAGAGAAUUAGAAGCUGGCUUUUGACCUCCAUUAAUUUUUUUAAUUUAAUAGUUCUCUGCAUGCAUUAAUAAAUAUUAUUAACCAUACUUUGUACUGCAAUGUUUCCAUUUCCUCUUCCCCCGAUGCUUUCUCAUUUGCUGCA
rnacentral:lncRNA from 1 species